rnacentral:rRNA from 1 species
GGACCCGCACAAGCGGUGGAGCAUGUGGUUUAAUUCGAAGCAACGCGAAGAACCUUACCAAAUCUUGACAUCCUUUGACAACUCUAGAGAUAGAGCUUUCCCCUUCGGGGGACAAAGUGACAGGUGGUGCAUGGUUGUCGUCAGCUCGUGUCGUGAGAUGUUGGGUUAAGUCCCGCAACGAGCGCAACCCUUAAACUUAGUUGCCAGCAUUUAGUUGGGCACUCUAGGUUGACUGCCGGUGACAAACCGGAGGAAGGUGGGG